UACGUAGGGCGCGAGCGUUAAUCGGAAUUACUGGGCGUAAAGUGUGCGCAGGUGGCCGCGCAAGUCGAGUGUGAAAUCCCCGAGCUUAACUUGGGAAUUGCGCUCGAAACUACGUGGCUCGAGUGUGGCAGAGGAAGGUGGAAUUCCACGUGUAGCGGUGAAAUGCGUAGAGAUGUGGAGGAACACCGAUGGCGAAGGCAGCCCCCUGGGCUAACACUGACGCUCAUGCACGAAAGCGUGGGGAGCAAACAGG
rnacentral:rRNA from 1 species